GACGAACGCUGGCGGCGUGCCUAACACAUGCAAGUCGAGCGGGAUGCAGCAAUGCAUCCAGCGGCGGACGGGUGAGUAACACGUGAGGAACCUGCCCUUCAGUGGGGAACAACACCGGGAAACCGGUGCUAAUACCGCAUGACGUCCCUGGAAGACAUCUUUCGGGGACCAAAGGAGAAAUCCGCUGAGGGAUGGCCUCGCGUCCGAUUAGCUGGUUGGCGGGUAACGCCCACCAAGGCUUCGAUCGGUAGCCGAACUGAGAGGUUGAUCGGCCACAUUGGGACUGAGACACGGCCCAGACUCCUACGGGAGGCUG
rnacentral:rRNA from 1 species